UUGAUACCGACGCCGUUGAGCCGCUCUGCCUCUCCAGCAAUGUAGCUCCGAGAAGCCCUCCUGCCAGCGCAUUGUUGAUACCAUAUCAUGUAACCUUAUGGACAUUUAUUCAUCUCUUCGCUUGGUGUCCACCGGAGGCCCGCGGGCUGGGACACAUGUGGACUGUCCGUGUCGCUGUCAACGUUGUUAUCACCUGGGAUGAAAUGGUCGCGUUUCUAGCACUGAAUCUCAUUUUCACGUCCAGGUCCAGGCUCCGUCAUUAAACUUUCAAAAUGAGGAUCUUCAUGUCUGUGCUGAAGAACGCCAACCCCAAAAUCGAGUACUACUCCCGGUUUUCGCCGUCCCCGCUCUCCAUCAAGCAGUUUUUGGAUUUCGGCAGGGACAAUGCUUGUGAGAAAACAUCCUAUAUGUUCCUGCGUAAGGAGCUGCCGGUGCGCCUGGCCAACACCAUGAGGGAGGUCAAUCUCCUACCUGAUAACCUGCUCAGCCAACCCUCCGUCAGACUGGUGCAGAAAUGGUAUAUGCAGAGCUUUGUGGAGCUGCUUGAUUAUGAGAACAGAAAGCCAGAGGACCGUCACGUACUGAAUGAUUUCCUGGAGCUCUUGAUUGAGAUCCGUAACCGUCACAACGACGUGGUUCCCACCAUGGCCCAGGGAGUCAUAGAGUACAAGGAGAAGUUUGGCUUUGACCCCUUUAUCAGCAGCAACAUCCAGUAUUUCCUCGACCGCUUCUACACCAACCGCAUCUCUUUCCGGAUGCUUAUCAACCAGCACACUCUCCUGUUUGGUAACGACAUCAACCCGGCCCAUCCAAAACACAUAGGCAGCAUUGAUCCCACCUGCAGUGUGGCUGAAGUCGUCAGUGAUGCCUAUGACACGGCCAAAAUGCUGUGUGAGAAGUACUACUUGGCUUCUCCUGAGCUCAAGAUUGAAGAGUUCAACAUGAAGGCCCCUAAAAAGCCCAUCCAGGCGGUGUAUGUGCCCUCUCAUCUGUUCCACAUGCUGUUUGAGCUCUUCAAAAACUCAAUGAGAGCCACAGUGGAGCUACAUGAGAACAGUACAGAGGAAUUACCACCAGUAAAGGCUAAGGUCACUCUAGGUAAAGAGGAUCUAUCCAUAAAGAUCAGUGACAGAGGAGGAGGAGUCCCUUUGAGGAAGAUAGACCGUCUGUUUAACUACAUGUACUCCACUGCACCUACACCAAGCCUAGAGCCAGGAGCUGUCCCACUGGCUGGUUUUGGCUAUGGUUUGCCGAUUUCUAGGCUCUAUGCCCGAUACUUCCAGGGGGAUCUGAAACUCUACUCCAUGGAGGGCGUGGGCACCGAUGCAGUCAUCUAUCUGAAGGCCCUGUCCAGUGAGUCCUUCGAGCGCCUGCCUGUCUUCAACAAGUCAGCGUGGCGGCAUUACAAGACUACCCCAGAAGCAGACGACUGGAGCAACCCCAGCAAAGAGCCACGUGAUGCCAGCAAGUCCAAUUACAAAGCCAACAGAUAACUCUGCUUGACCCGCUAGCACGGCCCUCUGCCGGGAGCUGAAAUGCCCGCACAGCAUGAAACAUGAAAUGUUACCCUCGGGUAAACGCUUGGUUUAGGAUCAGACUUGCUUUUACAUUCCAGUGGUUAAAGGUUUGGAGAAGAUGAAUGACCUUGACUUAAAUCUGCACCCAGUGGCAAUGACAUUCAUCAGCGUAGCUUUCAUUGCCGUGGCUGUCCGAGUUUAAAAUGAACCAAAUUCUAGAUCCCCACUGUCAUUUAGUCAAAAGCUGACUUCAUUUUCUCCUCCAUCUGGCCAUUACGUUCAUCUAAAUGUCACUGCUCUCUGUGAACUCUGCCCCUGUCUCAUGCAGUUUGAGGCUGGCUCGUCUUUGCUGACUAGGCCACCACUCCCUGUGGCUGAAUAAGCUGUGCACUGCAGAUUGAGUGUCUUUCUCAUCAUCAGUGAAGGCUUGUAUUCCGUUUCUCUCUUUUUCUCAAACACAAGCAGAGUCGGUGGUGGAGGGGUGAUGGUGGUGGAGGGGAGAGUUGAGUUUCAGUGUAAAUGGGAUGAGAUAGAGAUUUCCUUCCUUUGGGAGACACUUUUAACUGAACGCACAAUUAGGCCAGUGUGCUAUUGGCAUAGUAAAGACUUUUUUUUUGUUGCACUCUAUUUAAGCCUGGGAAAAUGAAAGAGCGGAUUGCCUGUAGAUGAAAGAAAAUGAUAACUCCAUUGUAAAAAUUGUAUUAGUACAUCCUAUUUUUAAGAAAAGUUAGGAUUUUUAUUUUAUGUCAAAGAGAGAAAGCCUUACUUAUUUAUAGCGUAUUUUAUGUUUGAAAAAAAAAAUCUGCCUUGAAGGCUCUACUGGAACUCAAAGUUCAGUUAUAAUGGAAGAAUGAAGAAGUUUUUGCUGAGUAUCCUGUUUAUAUUUUACUACUUCAGUCAUAAAAGUUAGCUAAACACCCAUCCACAGACAGCUGACCGGCAUCACUGACCCUUAUCAGACAUGUCUGCUUGCAAGCCAGCUCUGCCCCGUCAUUUAACAACUACUAAAGGACCAAAUGAGCGUCUGUAUGAUGCUUACGAAGUGCGACCAUGCCGGCUUUGACUGUCAAGUAGCUUCAACCACACCAACGUGAUGUAAUGAGAGGAAAUGGACGUGCUGCACCUAACGAGGACUAUAAAAGUGGGGAUACAUCAUUGAACCCGCUUUCUACCCAUCGUCUUGCCACAGUGGAUGUACAACAUGCUCACAGCUCGGACUUCUUAACCUAACAAUGCUUCAACCAGUCAGCCUUGUCUCAUUUGUGGUGUUACUAAUCCUCAGUCUUCUGAAUGGGUUUGAACAAAGCUUGUGUAUUUUGAGAACGUGCUUUGGUUUUUAUUAUCACGAGUGAAAAAUGACACGAAUUGAAGACACAGUUUAAAUGCAGAAUAUAAUUGAUACCUGACAGGUUUGUAAUUUAUUUUAUCCAGGAACAGAGUCUAAGAACUGCUUUUUCAGGCUUGUUUGCUUUUACUUUGGAACAUGAUUACUUCUGAUGAUCAUUUAAUGAUGCUUUUUCUUUGAUUAUUUUAAGUGUGUGGACAGUUCACUUCAUUUUCUUUAUUUAAACAAUAUGAAAUCAAGCAGUGUUUGGAAAAUCCUGCAGGGAAAAUGUGUUUAAAAGAGCCACUUAUUUUGACACACAUGGGACUUUGUUAGAGCACUUUACUAACUCUACACAUUUAUUUUCCUUUGAAAUAACUACCAUAUAAUCAUUUCAGACCUCUAUGAAAAAAUUCUUUAUAAAAGGAAGAUUAAUUAUGAUCAGCUCCAUCUGAUGUGAAAAGAAAGGAGUGUAGAUGAAGAAUUCAGAAAGGAAGGCUUCCUCGUCCCAUUUCAGCCUCACUGUAAAAUUUCAUCACUGCCGUUGUCUUCGAAACCUGCCAGUCCUGCUGAGUGAUGCUCGGUGACACACCUGCUGCAAAGGAAGUGCUGUGUUGUAUACAUGCGACAACAGUCCUCUUGGUUUGAAAGACCUCAGUUAACUCUUAAGGUGUGGUUUCCCUGCAGAUCAGUCUUACUCACAUUUGACAAAACUCACACCUUUGUCAAAGUUCCAGUUGUGUGAUUUAGAGGCCAGAGGAUCUUUAAUCUUCAGUAGCUGUCAACCUUUACUGUUAAAGACCGUCUCUGUACCUGUGGUAUUUUAGAAAAGAUUUGUCUACAUAACUAUUAAUAAUGUGUUUGCUGUAUUUAUUUGCAGCCAGUGUGGAGUGAUCGCUCUGUUUUCCAUCCCACUGUACCUCCACCUUAAACAGGUGUGUUUGUAUGCAUGAACUCCUCACUGUGGAGGUGGUCACGUAAAUAUAUGCAAUUAAUGCAACAUCAACAUGUACCAAAAAAAAAAAGUGAUAGAGCAGUCGAAUAAUGUGUUCAGCUCACACUGUCAACCCUGACAAUAAAGAAGAAUUGCUGUUG